rnacentral:rRNA from 1 species
UACGUAGGAUGCGAGCGUUGUCCGGAAUCACUGGGUGUAAAGGGAGCGCAGGCGGGUCGGUAAGUCAGUGGUGAAAUUCUCAGGCUUAACCUGGGGACUGCCACUGAUACUGCUGAUCUUGAGUGCAGAAGAGGUGGAUGGAAUUCUUGGUGUAGCGGUGAAAUGCGCAGAUAUCAAGAAGAACACCGAUGGCGAAGGCAGUCCACUGGUCUGCUACUGACGCUCAUGCUCGAAAGCGCGGGGAGCAAACAGG